ACGUCGUUUUAAAAAGGGGGAAAACGACGUCGUUUUGAAAGAAAAAAAAAACGACGUCGUUUUGGGAUGAAGGAAAACGACGUCGUUUUGGGUAGGCUAACAGGGUAUAAAGGGAGGUCGGGAAAGGGAGAAGAGAAAGAAAAAAAAAAGAAAAAAGAGAGAAAAGGAGGGAAAGAAGUGAGCGGAGAAGAAGAAGGGAAGGAAAGUUCCAGAAGGAGAGAGGAGAGAGUCGGAGCGGAAGGGAGCGAGAAGGGAGAGGGAAGGAGGCCGUGGACGGACGACGCGACCGGCAGAAAGAAGGAAGAUGGAAACGGGAGGUACGGUGAAAAUUUGAGUUGUUUGGUGUGGUGUGUGUGUGGUGAGUUUUUGUUGCAGGUUGCGGAGUCGGUAAUGGCGCGACGGAGUUGAGCGGUGAAGGUAGGCAGUAAAGCGUGGGGUUAUUCCGCACGUUCGCGGAGGAGACCGGGGGAAGAAAUGAAAGUAUGGCGGUGUUGGAGGCGUACGAGGAGCCGUGGGGGAAAAAUGGGGGUGGUGCGGGUAGAACAGAGUGAAGAAGAUAUGAGAGGACAAUCUAGGGAGCGCGGGUGGGAAAAAAAUCCGAGAUGACAGAAAGAGGUGUGUGCGUGGGUGGAGGCGUGGAGGGAGUCGCUAAUAGGAGGCGACGUAUUUCCCCGAAGUGCACGGUGGUAAGGGCGUGUGUAUGGAGUGAGACGGUGCAAGACGGUGCAAGCCGAGAGGUUAACCGCCCUAGGUAGGCAAAAGUGUAGAGGAAACGGGAGGAGGCAGAAGGAUAGGGGAAGUGGUACGUAGGGGGUGGUAGGAGAGGGAAGGGGGCUGGAAGGUACGGUAGAGGGGACUAGGAAUCAGGAUUUGAGGGGGUUCGGAUGAGAGAAGAGGGGUAAUAUGAACAGUAGGGGUUAGUAGGGGGCGGGGGCGAAUAGUGUAGAGCACUUGGGAUUAGCAUGGUGUAAGGGUAGAUGGGAGCGUGUGGUUUAGGAUGGGAGAUUUGGAGCACGUUGGUGGGGGUGGUGUGAGCCGCCGAUGUUGGUGGCGUGAGGAGGUGAUAUGUGUGUGUGUGUGGCCUAACAAGGUCGAGAGGUGUAGGAGAGUGUAUGAGUCACCGGUGUCAGUGACGGGAGGUGGAAAUGCUUGUGUGUGUGUGUGGCCUAACGAGGUCGAGAGUUGUAGGAGUGAGUAUGAGUCGCCGAUGUUGGUGACGCGAGAUGAUGGUACUUAUGUGUGUGUGUGGCCUCUUUAGGUCGAGAGGUGGAGGAGUGAGUAUGAGUUGCCGAUGUUGGUGACGCGAGAUGAUGGUACUUGUGUAUGUGCAUGGCCUAUUUAGGUCGAGAGAUGGAGGAAUGGAUAUGAGUCGCCGAUAUUAGUGACGUGGAAUGAAGGUGCUUGUGUGUGUGUGUGGCCUCAUGAGGUCGGGCGAUGGGGGAGAGAGUAUGAGUCGCCGAUGUUGGUGACGUGAGCUAAUGGAUGGUUGUUGUGUGGGUGUGGUUGCUUGGCCGUACUGUUUCCUUGGGGUAGGACCUUGAUGAUUAGUGUAGGGAGGGGGGUUAUGAGUUGUUUUGGGUUGGGUAGGAUAAAUGCAUAUAGACAUUUCUGAAAAUUCUUGUCACUGCAUACUGCACCUACAACUUGAUUUUUAUCGUAUUGAGUUAUGUGAACUCACUUCUCAUCAUUCACAGGUGGAGUAAGAACGGAGUCGGGAUCCGAGCGGCUGGUAACGGAGCCCCGUCGGUAGUGCCAUAGGGCACAAGUUUUGUUUGUGAUUUAAAAUAGUUUUGAAAAGGUGUCUUAAUUUGGAUAUUGAACUUAUAGAAAAGUUUGAUAAUGUGUUACUAUGUGUUGUAGAAGUGGAGAUGUAUGUACAAUUGAUUUGGAGCAAUGAAUGUGGACAAGUUUCUCUUAUGCAUGGUUGGAAUGAUAUGGGAUUUGUGUGUUGAGUCGUAUAAGUGCUUUAUCUUAU
rnacentral:lncRNA from 1 species